CUUCUGUGAAAUAUAAACUCUUGCUUUUAUAGGAGUGGGAAGAUUUACUUCAAAAGUUAUUUCCAAACACUCAUUUCAGCUCAUGCAAAGGAAUGCAUCGUGGCUGCAAGCCAAGGGGAAUUUUAUUCCAAAGACCCCUCCUGGAGGAAUCUUUAAGAGGAGACUAAGGUCUCUGCAGGUGGAUAAAGAACCUGCCUAGAAUAUUAGCAGCAGAAGUAUAAUUAGAAGCUACCUCUUCGAUUAAAACAAACAUUCACAAAUAGACACUUGGGAUUUUAGUCACCACUAUUUCAAAGUAGAGGAGCUGAGGACGCUAAGACCCUAUAGAAAUAAAAGGAAGAUGACUAGGAGCCUAAGUCCCACCCUUCCAACUUCCAGCUUUAAUGUAAAAAGAAGCUAACAGCAAAUGCCUGGAUGCAACUUGCAUAUUCUCAAAGAGAAGAUGGUCCAGAGAGUAAGUGGAAUGGUCCUGGCUGCCAAAUGCUAAUAGCUUGAAAAUCCUCCACGAGAGAAGAAAAUCAAUUAAGAUGUAAUUAAAUCAUCACUUCAUCAUUUCUGCAUAUGAAAUAUUACACUGAGAUCAAGAAUUUGGUAUGUCUGGAUGCUGAUGACUGUCCCUUUAUCCCUAUAUCC
rnacentral:lncRNA from 1 species